UGGGGAAUUUUGGACAAUGGGCGAAAGCCUGAUCCAGCAAUGCCGCGUGUGUGAAGAAGGCCUUCGGGUUGUAAAGCACUUUUUGUCCGGAAAGAAAUCCUUGGCUCUAAUACAGUCGGGGGAUGACGGUACCGGAAGAAUAAGCACCGGCUAACUACGUGCCAGCAGCCGCGGUAAUACGUAGGGUGCAAGCGUUAAUCGGAAUUACUGGGCGUAAAGCGUGCGCAGGCGGUUUGCUAAGGCCGAUGUGAAAUCCCCGGGCUCAACCUGGGAACUGCAUUGGUGACUGGCAGGCUAGAGUAUGGCAGAGGGGGGUAGAAUUCCACGUNUAGCAGUGAAAUGCGUAGAGAUGUGGAGGAAUACCGAUGGCGAAGGCAGCCCCCUGGGCCAAUACUGACGCUCAUGCACGAAAGCGUGGGGAGCAAACAGGAUUAGAUACCCUGGUAGUCCCACGCCCCUAAACGAUGUCAACUAGUUGUUGGGGAUUCAUUUCCUUAGUAACGUAGCUAACGCGUGAAGUUGACCGCCUGGGGAGUACGGUCGCAAGAUU
rnacentral:rRNA from 1 species